AUUCCUUUGUAGUUAAUAAGCGAUGAUUGGAUUUUCAUGCUCUUGUGUUCGAUGUGCCUCCCUUAAACCUUGUCAUGACAUCUCAGCACAUUACCCAUCUGACG
ensembl:snoRNA